GAGGUUGUGUCUCAGUGGUAGAGCUCGCUCCUUGCAUGUGUGAGAGACUGAGUUCGAUUCUCAGCACUGCA
rnacentral:tRNA from 1 species